UUAAGCGACUAAGCGUACACGGUGGAUGCCCUGGCAGUCAGAGGCGAUGAAGGACGUGCUAAUCUGCGAUAAGCGUCGGUAAGGUGAUAUGAACCGUUAUAACCGGCGAUUUCCGAAUGGGGAAACCCAGUGUGUUUCGACACACUAUCAUUAACUGAAUCCAUAGGUUAAUGAGGCGAACCGGGGGAACUGAAACAUCUAAGUACCCCGAGGAAAAGAAAUCAACCGAGAUUCCCCCAGUAGCGGCGAGCGAACGGGGAGCAGCCCAGAGCCUGAAUCAGUGUGUGUGUUAGUGGAAGCGUCUGGAAAGGCGUGCGAUACAGGGUGACAGCCCCGUACACAAAAAUGCACAUAUUGUGAGCUCGAUGAGUAGGGCGGGACACGUGGUAUCCUGUCUGAAUAUGGGGGGACCAUCCUCCAAGGCUAAAUACUCCUGACUGACCGAUAGUGAACCAGUACCGUGAGGGAAAGGCGAAAAGAACCCCGGCGAGGGGAGUGAAAAAGAACCUGAAACCGUGUACGUACAAGCAGUGGGAGCCUCUUUUAUGGGGUGACUGCGUACCUUUUGUAUAAUGGGUCAGCGACUUAUAUUCUGUAGCAAGGUUAACCGAAUAGGGGAGCCGAAGGGAAACCGAGUCUUAACUGGGCGUUAAGUUGCAGGGUAUAGACCCGAAACCCGGUGAUCUAGCCAUGGGCAGGUUGAAGGUUGGGUAACACUAACUGGAGGACCGAACCGACUAAUGUUGAAAAAUUAGCGGAUGACUUGUGGCUGGGGGUGAAAGGCCAAUCAAACCGGGAGAUAGCUGGUUCUCCCCGAAAGCUAUUUAGGUAGCGCCUCGUGAAUUCAUCUCCGGGGGUAGAGCACUGUUUCGGCAAGGGGGUCAUCCCGACUUACCAACCCGAUGCAAACUGCGAAUACCGGAGAAUGUUAUCACGGGAGACACACGGCGGGUGCUAACGUCCGUCGUGAAGAGGGAAACAACCCAGACCGCCAGCUAAGGUCCCAAAGUCAUGGUUAAGUGGGAAACGAUGUGGGAAGGCCCAGACAGCCAGGAUGUUGGCUUAGAAGCAGCCAUCAUUUAAAGAAAGCGUAAUAGCUCACUGGUCGAGUCGGCCUGCGCGGAAGAUGUAACGGGGCUAAACCAUGCACCGAAGCUGCGGCAGCGACGCUUAUGCGUUGUUGGGUAGGGGAGCGUUCUGUAAGCCUGUGAAGGUGUGCUGUGAGGCAUGCUGGAGGUAUCAGAAGUGCGAAUGCUGACAUAAGUAACGAUAAAGCGGGUGAAAAGCCCGCUCGCCGGAAGACCAAGGGUUCCUGUCCAACGUUAAUCGGGGCAGGGUGAGUCGACCCCUAAGGCGAGGCCGAAAGGCGUAGUCGAUGGGAAACAGGUUAAUAUUCCUGUACUUGGUGUUACUGCGAAGGGGGGACGGAGAAGGCUAUGUUGGCCGGGCGACGGUUGUCCCGGUUUAAGCGUGUAGGCUGGUUUUCCAGGCAAAUCCGGAAAAUCAAGGCUGAGGCGUGAUGACGAGGCACUACGGUGCUGAAGCAACAAAUGCCCUGCUUCCAGGAAAAGCCUCUAAGCAUCAGGUAACAUCAAAUCGUACCCCAAACCGACACAGGUGGUCAGGUAGAGAAUACCAAGGCGCUUGAGAGAACUCGGGUGAAGGAACUAGGCAAAAUGGUGCCGUAACUUCGGGAGAAGGCACGCUGAUAUGUAGGUGAAGUCCCUUGCGGAUGGAGCUGAAAUCAGUCGAAGAUACCAGCUGGCUGCAACUGUUUAUUAAAAACACAGCACUGUGCAAACACGAAAGUGGACGUAUACGGUGUGACGCCUGCCCGGUGCCGGAAGGUUAAUUGAUGGGGUCAGCGCAAGCGAAGCUCUUGAUCGAAGCCCCGGUAAACGGCGGCCGUAACUAUAACGGUCCUAAGGUAGCGAAAUUCCUUGUCGGGUAAGUUCCGACCUGCACGAAUGGCGUAAUGAUGGCCAGGCUGUCUCCACCCGAGACUCAGUGAAAUUGAACUCGCUGUGAAGAUGCAGUGUACCCGCGGCAAGACGGAAAGACCCCGUGAACCUUUACUAUAGCUUGACACUGAACAUUGAGCCUUGAUGUGUAGGAUAGGUGGGAGGCUUUGAAGUGUGGACGCCAGUCUGCAUGGAGCCGACCUUGAAAUACCACCCUUUAAUGUUUGAUGUUCUAACGUGGACCCGUGAUCCGGGUUGCGGACAGUGUCUGGUGGGUAGUUUGACUGGGGCGGUCUCCUCCUAAAGAGUAACGGAGGAGCACGAAGGUUGGCUAAUCCUGGUCGGACAUCAGGAGGUUAGUGCAAUGGCAUAAGCCAGCUUGACUGCGAGCGUGACGGCGCGAGCAGGUGCGAAAGCAGGUCAUAGUGAUCCGGUGGUUCUGAAUGGAAGGGCCAUCGCUCAACGGAUAAAAGGUACUCCGGGGAUAACAGGCUGAUACCGCCCAAGAGUUCAUAUCGACGGCGGUGUUUGGCACCUCGAUGUCGGCUCAUCACAUCCUGGGGCUGAAGUAGGUCCCAAGGGUAUGGCUGUUCGCCAUUUAAAGUGGUACGCGAGCUGGGUUUAGAACGUCGUGAGACAGUUCGGUCCCUAUCUGCCGUGGGCGCUGGAGAACUGAGGGGGGCUGCUCCUAGUACGAGAGGACCGGAGUGGACGCAUCACUGGUGUUCGGGUUGUCAUGCCAAUGGCACUGCCCGGUAGCUAAAUGCGGAAGAGAUAAGUGCUGAAAGCAUCUAAGCACGAAACUUGCCCCGAGAUGAGUUCUCCCUGACCCUUUAAGGGUCCUGAAGGAACGUUGAAGACGACGACGUUGAUAGGCCGGGUGUGUAAGCGCAGCGAUGCGUUGAGCUAACCGGUACUAAUGAACCGUGAGGCUUAACCUU
rnacentral:rRNA from 1 species